UAACCAUGGUGAGGGCAUUGAAUAAGCAACAGUUUGAACCUCUCCCAUGCCUCAUGGAAAGGCUCGCCUUCAGCUUGCGAGAAAUUUGCAAUUUUUCUUCUUAAUUCA
rfam:Ipomoea nil DNA, scaffold: scaffold3401, cultivar: Tokyo-kokei standard.